AACUUGAUAGAGUAAAAGCAGACUUCAAUAAGAAUUCACCAUUGCAAGGCAUAAUUGGUGCAAUUGACGGUACACAUAUUCUUAUAAAAGCUCCUAAAAUUGAUUCCUAAUAUUAUAGAACUUAUAAGAAAACAUGCCAUAAUUUUGCAACAGUCUGUGAUACUUGUAUGAGAUUCACUGACUGUUUCGCAGGAUAUGCAGGUUUAGUUGGAGAUUUAAGUUUUCAAAAAUUCAGAUUUAUGGAAAGAAGUUCAAAGAGAUAAACAAUCUUACUUUCCAAAUGGCGAAUUCAUUAUUGGCGAUAAAGCAUAUCCCGUAUUAACAUGGUGUAUUCCCCAUAUAUUGAUCGUGGUCAACUUACAGUUGCUCAGAAGAAAUUUAAUACCGCUCUUUCAUCAAAACAAUCAGUAAUUGAAUGUGCAUUUGCAUUAUUAAAAAGUAGAUUCCGUAGAUUGAAGUUUCUCAAUAUGAACAUAAAUGAAAUGAUCCCCCAUGUCAUAAUUGCUUGUACAGUAUUACAUAAUAUAUGUCUGGAUGGUAUUGACAAAGAUGUAGAGAAUUACAUACAAGAAGGUUUGGAAGCAGUGGAAAAUGAUGAAGUUUAUG